GAUGAACGCUGGCGGCGUGCCUAAUACAUGCAAGUCGAGCGAACAGACGAGGAGCUUGCUCCUCUGACGUUAGCGGCGGACGGGUGAGUAACACGUGGAUAACCUACCUAUAAGACUGGGAUAACUUCGGGAAACCGGAGCUAAUACCGGAUAAUAUAUUGAACCGCAUGGUUCAAUAGUGAAAGACGGUUUUGCUGUCACUUAUAGAUGGAUCCGCGCCGCAUUAGCUAGUUGGUAAGGUAACGGCUUACCAAGUCAACGAUGCGUAGCCGACCUGAGAGGGUGAUCGGCCACACUGGAACUGAGACACGGUCCAGACUCCUACGGGAGGCAGCAGUAGGGAAUCUUCCGCAAUGGGCGAAAGCCUGACGGAGCAACGCCGCGUGAGUGAUGAAGGUCUUCGGAUCGUAAAACUCUGUUAUUAGGGAAGAACAAAUGUGUAAGUAACUAUGCACGUCUUGACGGUACCUAAUCAGAAAGCCACGGCUAACUACGUG
rnacentral:rRNA from 1 species